CAGCCGUAAACGAUGCGCGUUAGGUGUAUCGACGACCACGAGUCGUCGAGGUGCCGAAGGGAAACCGUGAAACGUGCCGCCUGGGAAGUACGGUCGCAAGGCUGAAACUUAAAGGAAUUGGCGGGGGAGCACCACAACAGGUGGAGCCUGCGGUUUAAUUGGACUCAACGCCGGACAACUCACCGGGAACGACAGCAAUAUGUAGGCCAGGCUGAAGACCUUGCCUGAAUCGCUGAGAGGAGGUGCAUGGCGUAGACGUCU
rnacentral:rRNA from 1 species